UGACGGACGGGUGAGUAAUGUCUGGGAAACUGCCUGAUGGAGGGGGAUAACUACUGGAAACGGUAGCUAAUACCGCAUAACGUCGCAAGACCAAAGAGGGGGACCUUCGGGCCUCUUGCCAUCGGAUGUGCCCAGAUGGGAUUAGCUAGUAGGUGGGGUAACGGCUCACCUAGGCGACGAUCCCUAGCUGGUCUGAGAGGAUGACCAGCCACACUGGAACUGAGACACGGUCCAG
rnacentral:rRNA from 1 species